CUAGAACCUCCAGAGGGCUCUUCCAGGGGCCUCCAGAGUGCUCCUACAAUACCUCUGCUCCAUCUGGGGUAAAGGAAGGUUGGCCAUCCCUAUCCUGGAACUGUCUUGCCCAGGGCCUGCAGGGGUAACCUGUUGGGUCUAGAAAGAGUUCCCCUCAACACCUGCAGAAAGGCUUGCAUUGGUAACACCGGCCCCUGCACCCAUCAUCCAUCACCUUUGCAAGCAGGAAACCAAUUUUCAUUUUGUUUAGGUCCUUUUGAUUUUUGUUUCCCUGCCUGACACCCUCAUCUAGUUUUAAACAUGCAGGACAUCAUCAUAUGAAGCACUCGAGAUAUAAAAAUAGAAAGGGGAAAAGGGGGGCGCUGAGCUGGGCUGGGGUGUCGAGCAAGAGAUGGUAGGAAAGGAAAACAGUCCUUUCUCUCUUAGCAACAGGAGGAAAGGUUCUCAGCUGAGACACGUGAAAAUUCUCUUGCAUCCAUGCAUUCUAAUAGAUUCCAGAGGCCUUCAGAAUCCUUUUCUCCAUCAAUACCACAUAGAAAGGAACAGGAACGUUUUGGUAUUCCCCUUUUGACAGACGAAGGAGGUUGGAGGCCAAGGAAAGAACAGAUGAUAACGGGUGCAUCUUUGACAUGCUGCAUGGCUGUAAGAAAGAAUGUGAGACCUGGCUUUGAGUCCCUGCUCUGUCAUUUAUUGUGUGUUCUUGAGUGCUGAGAUGCCAGAGCCUGAACCUCCGUUUUUCAGUCUGACAGGCGAGAAUAGUAAUCCCAGCCCUGCCUUCUUCACAGAUGCCCUGAGAAUCAAAUGAGAUAAUGCAGAUGAAAGUGUUUUUCAAAGCACAAUG
rnacentral:lncRNA from 1 species